rnacentral:tRNA from 1 species
CAGAAAGUAGUUUUAAUGAGAAUGUUGGUUUUGGGGGCCAGUGGUGAGGGUUAAACUCCCUUCUUUCUGA